GAUAGCAACAAAGUCUGGGCCGAGUCUGGCUUAUAUUCGGCACUUCUGGCUUAAUUCUGGCACUGUUUUUUUCACACUCUUGUGUCAAACAGUACUAGGCUAAGCUCUGGCUGGAGUCUGGCUAACCAAAAGAAACAAAUCAAAUUGUAUCUGUUUGGCUAAGCUUUGGCUUGAGUUCGGUCUGCCAGAAUAAGGAAAUUUUUGGCUGAGAUCUGGUUGGGUUUUGGUUGGCUGAGCAAAUAACAGACCUCAUGAAAGUGCUGUACUGUAAAAUAGCCGUGUAAGAUGUGGUGUUAAAUUGGUUCAUAUUUUAGACAUAAUUAUAAUGCAACCUCAUAAAUAGGGUUAAUUUUGUUAAAAAUAAUAAAAUGAAAUAAGUUUGUUAUAGACCUAGUUAAAAAUACAUAUAGAUAUGUAUGCAAAUAGUUCUCUUUUACACAUAAGUAGGCAGGUUUUAAGGAAAGAAGCCUUGAUUAUUCUAUUGGCAAGAUUAUUUUAAUGGGGGGGUUAAGGAGGUGAUAAUGUGCAGAUUGCAGAAUGGAAAAAAAAGAUGUUUGCAAAAUGACUGAAGACAAAUGGUUCAGUCUGCAGCAUAGACAAAAGAUUGAAUGGAACUGAAAGAGUACUUUGUGGUUAUCCAAAUGGUAAUCAAUAUGCCACACACACACACACACACACACAAAAAUUCACUUUUUGGGGAAUUUAUUAGGUAGCCUACAGAUGUACUACAAAAACCCAUGGUUAAACUAUGAUUUUUUGAAGCAAAAACCACCCAUGCUUUGAGUUUUCACAAUUCCUCAAUAAAAAAAUUAUAUAAUCUCCAUAAAAUAGCCUAUACAUAGCCUAUUGUAAGUAUUUGGAGAAGAAACAUUUAUGUUCUCCACGUAAACCAUUGAAAUCGGUUAAAUAAAACGUGGUUCUGUUUUUAAAAAUCUCCGGGAAACUUGCGUGUUUUUAGAGCAAUGUGAGCAAACCACGCGGCAGUCGAUGCGACGUCUGUGGCUGCUGAUACAAUCUGGUUUGCAAUGCAUCAUGGAAAUUGUAGUUGAUUUACAUGUACAGUGUUAAAUCCGCUUUGCAAAAAGACUACUUUUCCCAGAAUGCACCCAGUGACACCAUCCCGCCUACCAGAGGAUCCGGAAGUUGCGUAGCAGCUAUUCAGCAACUCAACGCAGUCGCGGUGAAAUUCAAAUAACUAAGUUAGUUGUUCUAACUUCGACAAUCACGCUGUGUUGGUUUUAUCUUUUGAUGUUUUAAUACAUGAUCAAGUGAAGAACAUCGGAAGCUGCUUCUUGCUGAACAACAGCUGAUCUUUCUGAGGCCACCAAAACGGAAAAUAAAAUGAAACAGGCGACUAAUGGAUGAAAAUGACCCCGAUGAGGAGGCUACUGCAGCCAUGGCAAGUAGAGAAGUUCACAAGACCUCACAGAACAUCGCAGGCAACGGGAUUUAACUUUACAGUCUCACGGACAGGCAAUACAGUCACCAUGGCAUCACGAAACACCCAGACCACAGAGAAAAAGCCUCUCAAGUGAUGACCGAUUAAUAAGAUUACGGUGGCUGAGAGGUCUCAACAUUCUGCAACAGAAGAAAAUGGAUGCAAACAGAAAAAAACCCCUGUAAAAUAAGAACAUCUUUAUCACAUGUGCUAAAACACAACCAAAUACAUAAAUGCUCUCCAAAUGUCCGACCAACAAAUAUCUACUCGACAAUGGUGUUCAUUGUUUUAUUUUUAUUAUUAUUUAUUGUUUGCAUUGUAUUUGCAGCAAGUGUGUUGUGAAACUGAUGUCUUGACUUGCUGGUGUUUUUCUUGUUUGCAUGUUUUCUUCUGUUGCAGGACUUUGAGAUCUCUCGGCCAACAUAUUUUUGUUAAUUUUUGUAUCUCAUUAUUUAAGAAUGCCACA